AACUCUGCCCAUUAUUUCUCGCCGGCGCCCGAGAUCAAACCGAGGACCACAGGAUCACAAGUCCAGCGUGCUGUCCGCUCGGCCGCCCAGCUCCCUUUGUUCGUAUAGUGUAGAGAAGCUGCACAAAUAUUGAUGUAUCUAAAUGAGCUAACAAAAAACAUGAGGGAGGGGACUGGGAUAGGGAUACCGACUAUCCAGGUCACCGCCAAGUAUCCCUCUUAAUAUUACUAUAUACCCAAAGCCUGACUAUCCAAAUACACCUCGAGGCUAACCAUAGCCUGUGCUUCUUGCCCCGCUCCUGUGCCAGGUAAGUUACGGGCUCACCAUAGCCCGUGCUACUUGGAAUUUGUUCCGAGUAGCUGAAUCUAUAACAACAUAUCCAAAUACAUAUUAAGGUAGGCAAGAUAUGCUCAGACGUGUUUGCCGUGUGUGGCCACCUCUUGACGUAACACUGGAGGUUGCUCAACUUGGGGAGUAUUCAUGAGCAGCCGCAAGCUAUCAAGUAUUAAUUAUAAGCUCAGUGGCACCCCCGCUAUGUGGAGUGGAGGUCGCGCCGGGAACGCGUGCCUCGACAACACGCCUACAGGGGCCCUUUGACGAGAUAAUGACACACUGCUCUUAAGAACCGAACUGAGCGAGUAGUUGCUUUAAUUAAUAUCCACCCGGGAGGUUUGAGUAUUUCCUGCGUGCUGGUCCACCACCUGUCGCAACACCACCAACGGCAGCGUGGCACGUCUCACCUUUAAGAUCACAAGUACCACCAGCGGCACGAGGUACCGGACCUCCAGCGGCACGAGUGGGAAGAGAAUGGGCAGCGUGUUCACCACCACUUAGCACCAGAGACAACACGGCAGACUCUACGAUGAAGCCCACGUAGGCCCACAUCUAUACUAACAUCAGUUGUAUAGGUCUCAACAACUGAUCGGUUGAGAGACGGGACCAAAGAGCCAAAGCUCAACCCCCACAAGCACAAAUAGAACACUGCAGAACUACAUAGCCUAUCUUGCAAGUUACAACAACAAAAAUUAGCGUCUGUUUACAAAAGCUCAAGAGCAUAUUGCAUAAACAAAUUAAUGGAGCUAAGGUUGGACCACAAGCACAUGGCGAGGUCGCGCGGGCUCUGAUCUUAGCCACAACACCAGUAGGAAUAUCUUGCUGACACACACACUGCCGCCACCACCACUACCACCACCACCACCCCCGUCCCGGCAACCCUCUCCCUCACCCACUAGAGUUAAGAUAAAAAAUUCAGCAUGGAAAUUACUUCUUGAAGAAGACAUUGAAUGAAGAUCAGGCUGUGAUUCAUACAUCAGGCUGCGAGCAUCCGCGUCCAACAGCCUGGUUGACCAGUCCAUCAAUGAAGAGGCCUGGUCGAGGACCGGACCGCGGGGCCAUUGAUCCCCGGAAGCUACACAAGGUAGACAGAAGGAAGGUAAGGUAUAGAAUGGCAGGGCGGGAUAGGGUAAGGUAGCGUAUCCUCACUACAUACAACUGUUCUUCUAGUGACAAGAGAUUUGUGUAUUAAAGCAAAACAAAGAAAGGAGUGACCUCAGGUGUUUUCAUUGUCGUUACUCUCACCUGGAGUAUUACUCUCAUCUCGCCAGCUACAGCAUUCAUCAACAGUCCCGGCUCCCACACAUGCAGGUGCUGCUGCUUGUUCCAGUGCUGCACACACCUGCCAGGGUAGUGCUGGUACUAUUAUUGGAGGAGGACAACGACGACAAGUAGGAAGGAGGAGAGAGAGAGAGGCGGCUAAUAAACACAUUCUACUGACACGAAACUUCUUUUUUUAUGAUUUAGCUGCAGUACCGCUCGAAGACCUCUGCCCACUACCUGAAGACUACACACUGCCAGGCUAAGACUUCAACACACACACACACACACACACACACACACACACGAAACCAGGUGAUCAGCUCACUCAACACCUAACUGUUAGGAAGCGGCUGAUGGCAAGACCAUUAGUGGUGGGCAUGUCACCGUGAACUCUCCGGCCCGGCCCCGCCCCGGCCCGCCCCCAACACUAACUACAAUAUUACAACACCUCUCUCAACGCUCACCAAAUUAACCGAAUACUCCCAGAAAGUUAAAUGGGAAAGAAAGCCUAUUCUUAAUACGGCCAACAAUUGUCUAUUAACAUUAUGUGAUCUUGCCGAAGUUAUGUCGAAGUUACCAUAACUUUAUAUGAGGAAAUACGACACGGAACCAGGGGCCAUAUUCACGAAAGCACUUACGCAAGCACUUAUGAACCUGUACAUCUUUUCUCAAUCUUUGGCGACUUUGUUUACAAUUAUUAAACAGUUAAUGA